rnacentral:piRNA from 1 species
UGCUUCAUGCUUGAGGUUAACGAUGUGA